rnacentral:rRNA from 1 species
GACGAACGCUGGCGGCGUGCUUAACACAUGCAAGUCGAACGAUGAAGCUAGAGCUUGCUCUGGUGGAUUAGUGGCGAACGGGUGAGUAACACGUGAGUAACCUGCCCCGAACUCUGGGAUAACUGCUGGAAACGGUAGCUAAUACCGGAUAUGACCAAUGAAGGCAUCUUCUGUUGGUGGAAAGAAUUUCGGUUCGGGAUGGACUCGCGGCCUAUCAGCUUGUUGGUGAGGUAACGGCUCACCAAGGCGACGACGGGUAGCCGGCCUGAGAGGGUGAUCGGCCACACUGGGACUGAGACACGGCCCAGACUCCUACGGGAGGCAGCAGUGGGGAAUAUUGGACAAUGGGCGCAAGCCUGAUCCAGCCAUGCCGCGUGAGUGAUGAAGGCCUUAGGGUUGUGAACCUCUUUUAGUAGGGAAGAAGCGAAAGUGACGGUACCUGCAGAAAAAGCACCGGCUAACUACGUGCCAGCAGCCGCCGUAA